UUUUAAUCAGGCAACGAAGGAAAUCCCGUCCUCUCAUUGGCCAGGUUACUCUCCGGCGUAAUGGGGCUAAUUAGAGGGACCCCGCCGCUGAGGCGGAGGAAGGAGGGGGUUAGGCCAGGUCAGUAUGCCCCGAAACCCUCGGGCCACACGCGGGCUGCAAUGGUAAGGACAAUGGGUUCGGAGUCCGAAAGGAGGAGGCAAUCCUUAAACCUUACCUCAGUUAUGAUUGAGGGCUGAAACUCGCCCUCAUGAAUAUGGAUCCCUAGUAAUCGCGUCAACUCAAAG
rnacentral:rRNA from 1 species